UACGUAGGGUGCAAGCGUUAAUCGGAAUUACUGGGCGUAAAGCGUGCGCAGGCGGUUAUGUAAGACAGAUGUGAAAUGCCCGGGCUUAACCUGGGAACUGCAUUUGUGACUGCAUGGCUAGAGUUUGGCAGAGGGGGGUAGAAUUCCACGUGUAGCAGUGAAAUGCGUAGAUAUGUGGAGGAACACCGAUGGCGAAGGCAGCCCCCUGGGUCGACACUGACGC
rnacentral:rRNA from 1 species